GUUGGCUCAUGGGGUUUAGGUCGAUCCUAUCUAGUGCCUUCCACUCUUGGCGCAUAUAGUCCAUAUACAAAUAUACUAGAUUUGUGAUAAAAAAUAUAUGCCUUUUUACUAUGUUGCAGCUAACUGUACCAAUAAACCAUGUUUAAAAGAUGGAAUAAGUUUACACAAUAUUCCAUACUUCAAUAACGAACGCGCGGAAGCUAAAAGACGAAGAAAAGUAUGGGUUUGUUUGUGCCGUCAAAGCACAGAUCAAAGCUAGACUUCGACUAUAUGCUCGGAUCAUUUUUGACCAGAGGAUUACGAGAGGCGAUUCUUUUUGUGUCUUUCGUUGACGGGGCUCGGCAAGCCUAAC